CUCUAUUACUUUUAGUGAGGAAGAAGAGAGAAAUGCAUGCUGGGAUCCCACUCGCUUUCUACUUUUUCUUCAGUCUGGGAUCCCAGACCACGGGAUGUUGCUGCUCACAUGCAGGGGGAUCCUCUUCAGGUAAAUCUCUACGGAACGAACACCCUCACAGACACACCCAGAGAGGCAUCUUCUAGGUGCAUCUCCAUAUCUAGUCAAGCUGACGAUGGAGUCCGACGGUCAAGGUUGCCUAAGGCCUCACAGCUGCGUGCAGCUCCGUGGGAAGGGCCGUGCUGAAAGCAGAAACAGUGGAGGAAAAUCCACAGAACCCGUAGUUCCUGUGUGGAGAUGAACGUCUUUCAAGGUGAAGAGUUUGUAUUUAAAACAUAAAACCACAAUAAAGUAGAAGGAGAAACUGGUCCUUGACAUGAACGUGCCAGUCAAGUCUGCAUGCUAAGACAUAGAGAAGAAAAAGAAGAGGAGGAAGAAGAAUCAAACACUUAUGAAUGAUUGAGCAGGGAUAUUGAAUAAACUUAACCCAUUACUAUGCAGAACAUAAUGCAGGCAUCUUGAUCUUGGAUCCUGUCCAAGGCGAUCCAUGAUUGGAUGAAGUGGGAGAUUCUCGUUCAGAGAGUUUCGCCCAAAAUGUGAUGUCUGAUCGUAGACUCAGCAUUACAGGGCAGCUCCAGUGUGGUUUUCG